rnacentral:rRNA from 1 species
UCGGACGAUGAUGCCCUUCGGGGUGGAUUAGUGGCGAACGGGUGAGUAACACGUGAGCAACCUGCCCUUGACUCUGGGAUAAGCCUGGGAAGCUGGGUCUAAUACCGGAUAUUGCCUCCUGCCGCAUGGUGGGGGGUGGAAAGCCUUGUGCGGUCUUGGAUGGGCUCGCGGCCUAUCAGCUUGUUGGUGGGGUGAUGGCCUACCAAGGCGACGACGGGUAGCCGGCCUGAGAGGGUGACCGGCCACACUGGGACUGAGACACGGCCCAGACUCCUACGGGAGGCAGCAGUGGGGAAUAUUGCACAAUGGGCGCAAGCCUGAUGCAGCGACGCCGCGUGGGGGAUGACGGCCUUCGGGUUGUAAACCCCUUUCGGCGGGGAACAAGCCCUUCGGGGUGAGGGUACCCGCGGAAGAAGCGCCGGCUAACUACGUGCCAGCAGCCGCGGUAAUACGUAGGGCGCGAGCGUUAUCCGGAAUUAUUGGGCGUAAAGAGCUCGUAGGCGGUUUGUCGCGUCUGCUGUGAAAGCCCGGGGCUCAACCCCGGGUCUGCAGUGGGUACGGGCAGGCUGGAGUGCAGUAGGGGAGACUGGAAUUCCUGGUGUAGCGGUGAAAUGCGCAGAUAUCAGGAGGAACACCGAUGGCGAAGGCAGGUCUCUGGGCUGUAACUGACGCUGAGGAGCGAAAGCGUGGGGAGCGAACA